rnacentral:rRNA from 1 species
UUCGGGGACCGAAUGACAGGUGGUGCAUGGUUGUCGUCAGCUCGUGUCGUGAGAUGUUGGGUUAAGUCCCGCAACGAGCGCAACCCUUGUCCUUAGUUGCCAGCAUUAAGUUGGGCACUCUAAGGAGACUGCCGGUGACAAACCGGAGGAAGGUGGGGAUGACGUCAAAUCAUCAUGCCCCUUAUGACCUGGGCUACACACGUGCUACAAUGGAUGGUACAAAGGGCAGCAAAACCGCGAGGUCGAGCAAAUCCCAUAAAGCCAUUCUCAGUUCGGAUUGUAGGCUGCAACUCGCCUACAUGAAGCCGGAACCGCUAGUAAUCGCGGAUCAGCAUGCCGCGGUGAAUACGUUCCCGGGCCUUGUACACACCGCCCGUCACACCACGAGAGUUGGCAACACCCGAAGUCGGUGAGGU